rnacentral:lncRNA from 1 species
GAGCAUACUCUUGCUGUCUUCCCUGCACAUCUUUCAAACAGUGGCUGGUAUUUUCACCUAACAGUGAGACUGGUGGGAAAUGUCAGCAAUGGUGACUUUGGGGUAUAGUUUCUCCCAGUAAGGAAGGCAAAUUCUACAAAAAGAAUGAAGCACAGCAGACAAAGUGAAGCGCUGGUUUUUACAAGCCUGAGGAAGGCGAGGAAGUCUGUCUGCAAUGUCUGCUGCAUCCAUCUUAGUAGUAGCCACUCCUGGAAAUGAUAUCACUGCUCGAGCCCCCUUGCCCCUGCUUACAGGACAAGGACACCUUGCCGCAACAGGUACCAGUUAACUCAAUGAUUUUUUUACUGCUGGGAAAGUGGAGCAAAAGUUCUGGGCAUUUGGCCAUAUAUGGAGGCUGUUUUGGUUGUCACAACUACAUGGAGGGUACUACUGCAUCCAGUUGGUAGAAGUCAGGAAUGCUAAUAAACAAUGCACAUAACAGCUAUGCACACACAAAAAAUUAUCCAGCCCAAAUUAAAUUUGUUGGCCUUGAUUACCUUUUACCUUCAAAUUAGUUUAGCCCUACUGUUAAUGUAACACACUUUGUGGGGGUCUUUGUGCAAACCCUGUGUAUUCAAUUCAAUCUCACCUCUCUGUUAGGUUGGAACUCAAAUAUCCCUCAACACUGAACUCUGACUGAUUCAUUCUAUUUGGUAGUCAUUCUUUGUCCACCCUUGUGUAGUUUCAGUCAGUGCACAGCUAACUUAGUAUUAUUUCAAGUCUCAAGAAGAUGCUCGGCAGAUUUCUGGAGCUCUUUUCCUUUAGGAUUCUGCCCCACAAAUUCCAUCUGUUCUUCCUCCCCAAAGUAUGAUGCCUUUUUCCUCGAUUCAGCAAGACCAUUAUACUCUGCUUGGGUUGACUCUCCUAAAUUGUAGUCCAGAACAUGGCGAACAGAAGCCCAGAGUGAUCAUGUGGUUCAUCUUGGUUGUUCUUUGUCUCUCAAAGAUGGCAGUCUUGUGCUACACAUCAUGUAAUGUCUGAAAAUAAUUGCUUCCUGUAUUUUGUUCAGUUUUCAUGUUGUUCAUGAAAGAGACCAAUCUGAUAUUAGAUCCUUUAUCAUGGCUACAAGUGGAAAUUUGAGAUGCAUAUUUUGAGAAAACUGAAGAGAUUGACUCAUUUUCUCAUUUUUGUAUGGCCAUAUUGGAGUUGACCUGAAAUAACUUCUUUAAAAUUAAUGUUUUCACAUUAAUAAAUACUCUCAGUGUAACAUCUGGCAAUAGAGCAAUAAAGGCUGAAAUUGAAAAAGUACUGCUGAGGCUAUUAUUACAAAGAAGCAAAAAUACUUUUUAUGUUUUUGAUCCUUAGAGCACUUUUUUUUUUGAGGUGGAGUCUCCCUCCAUCACCCAAGGUGGAGUACAGUAGUGCCGUCUUGGCUCACUGUGAAUUCUGCCUCCCUGGUUUAAGCAAUUCUCUUGCCUCAGUCUCUU